UUUUGAAAGAAAAGCAGAAUAAUGUCUGCUUCAUUUAUUAUUUCUAAAAAACAAACUUAGCUGGCUUUGAAUUUGAAAUCUCGGGUACCAAGCAUCAAGCACUUUAUCUAGUUCAUCUUUUGAACUAGGAACGGUUGGUCAUCUUCCAGUACUUGACCCGACAGUGGUAAAGAAGAACUCCAAUAAAUAUGUAAAUCAAAGUGUAGCUUCUCCAAACCGACCAUUCCUAGAGCAAGUGGCAAAGGAUUUGGUGGUUGGUACCCGAGGUUCCAAAUUCGAAUCCUAAUUGAUUCACAUUUACAGCUAAGUUUAUUUCACCUAUCUCUUACAAAAAAAAAUGUAGCUCCUCCACAUUACAAAAAUAUA
rnacentral:lncRNA from 1 species